CUUUAUGCCUUGAUAAACAACAUCAAUGUACGUUUAAUUUGCAAAAUAAUGUUUCAGUAGGGAUAUUUAAUGAUACACACUUGAAUGUCCCUAAUAUACGAGUGAAUACAUACAAAAUUCAUAUUAGUUUUAUUAUUUGCGAUAAAUUCACAAACAGACGAUCCCAUCAGAAUGGAACUUUACAAGUGAAUAAUUGCAUGCACUUUUUUAAACCGGGUCAAAUUAAUUUUUUACAAUAAACCAUUAAGAUAGGAGUAUCAAUAUUUUUUUUUAAACUAAUGAAUCAUUUUUUUUAUUUAAUCAAGAAUUAAAGCGUAGUUACUUUGAAUAAAUCCUCCUUAUUACACCCAAAUAAUCCUAAGGAAGCCAUUAGAGGCUAAAUUUGCCCACUUUGUUGAUUUGGACGUAAGUUUUGGGUCAUUUUAUUGCUGGAAGACCAACUACAUGAUCCAUUUUCAGUGCCCUGCUUAUUGAGAAAGGGAUUGUCGUCUGAGAUGGAGAACGAAGCAUUUCUUACGUGAUACCAGUGAUGGAACUGGUAAUCUUCUGAAACGUUGUCGGCAUCGGUUCCAUAGUGAUAAAAUACUUACACAAGGCGGUAUGGAUCAACCAAGUGACUACUUAAAAAGUAAUCGCAUUUGAAUAGAUUAUAGUCAGAUUAAGAAUCCUGACGCGAUCAUCUAUACGGACGGGGCUAAAGACGUAGAUGGAAACACCGGGACUGGAUGGGCCAUCAUUGAAGGUGAUGCAUCAAUUUGUCAUUCAAUGGCUUCAUUAAUAAAGAUGCUUCUGUGAUUCAAGCAGAGAUUUUUGCCAUAAUACAAGGUAUAGAAACUCUUCCCAAGUACUAAAGAACACUAAAUAAUGUAAUAAUCAGAUUGGACUCCCAAUCAGUAAUUGCUGCAAUCUUUAAUCACCUUAGUAGAAGUAAAUAAGUUUUAAAAUGUAAAGAAACCAUCAUCAAAGGAAUGAGUGAAAAAAUAUACAUUUAGAAUGAUGUAAAGGACAUUCUGAUAUUACAAGAAAGGAAUUUGCAUACCAUCUUGCCAAGAGAGGUACUGAAAGCCGAAACUAGUUUACUAUUGGGACACCUCCAAGCUACAUAAAGAAGGUAAUUUAUUACUUCUUCUAUCAAUAUUGGUGUGACCGAUGUAAAAAAG
rnacentral:lncRNA from 1 species